CGGGACGGCGAGGAUAGCGCCUGGGGGAGCAGCCCUAGCCCCAGCAGCACGGUGUUCACCAGGACCAGAGUAUUCUGCCAAAAAUGAAAUGCUGUCCUGUAUCAAAACCCGAUUCGAGCUUCUGCCGAGCCUGACCAGUCUUGGGUCUUGAGCCAGGAUGAUUUUUUGGGAGGAAAUUCCACAUUUGGGAGGGAAAGGAUGAAGUAGUUAUAAAAGGGUCAGCUUGCCAGAUGGAAAAAAAAGAGGCAGUUGUAUGAACAGAAUGGAGGAAAGCAUUUCCUGGGUCACUGAGUUUUGUCCGGAGCUACUUAAAGGAACUAAUUCCCACAUCACCCUUCAAUGAGCGACCACGCUCUUGCAGCAGGCAGAAGCAUGAGGAUCACCUCAACACCACGUCCCCCUCUGCAAAGGUGCAACACUCAAUGCAGCAUCGCUGAAAUGUGUCUUUAAGGAAUGUCCCACUCUGUGCUGCAGAAAUCAGUUCUUUAGAGAAGCAGGUUAGCUUUCCAAGCUGCAUCCAGGCACACGCUGGGCUGAGCUGCAGCUCUGCCAUCCCUCAGCACACCGGGGCUAUCUGCACCUCCUGCCCACUCAUCUUCCUGCUCCGGCCACGCCAACCCGCUCCAGCCUUGCCGAGCGAUAAACCCUUGGCCUCUCGCGUUCGUCUGGCCGAUAAGGGCCAGCGGUUUAUCGGAGGAAACACUCGCGCUCGCAGGGAUGGCCUCCGCACCGCGGCCGAUUAAUCCGAGUUGAGUGCACUUCCUUCGGCCAGGGGACACCAAUUACCGCGAAGGCACCGGCAGCACAAUGCAGGCGAACAUCUGACAGCCCGGGUCCUGCCAGCUCCGCAUUGUCCUCCCGUCAGGCGCUGUCAGUUCCCAGCCUUAAUUACAUCCUGUUUACAAACACUCCGCCGGACUUCAGAUGGAGCCUUAACAAAGGUUGACAAAGAGGUACGGGAAAAUAAUGUUCACUGCAACCUGUUGACUUUCAGUGUGAACAAAAACCCAAAAAGAAAAAAUAAUAGGAAGAAUUUGAAAUUUACAGCUGGGUUUGCUUGCAUGGGAACGAGGAAACCAGGCACCUCUGUAAGCCAAGGCUCCAGUAUCAUCUUUCCCCAUCUUAAGAUAGAUGAGCACUGACAUGAACUGAAUCUCAUCCAAAACUCAAUGUAUAGCAGCACUUACAGGAGUAGAGCAGCUGGAUCAAUCUAAACACUUGAUAUAUCAAAGCCAUUAACUUAGGAGCUUGUCACCAGACCCAUCUCUUUGUAUCUAGUCAGUUAUUCACACAUCAUGAUUCACGAACCCCAACUGCACAGGACCACACAGCAAUAGCCAAUGAAAUCGAAAACCCAGCUUGUUGUCGUAUCACCGCUCUCUGAGGACAUGCUGCAAUAAUUACAUGGUCACAGUCAGUGAAAGGCGACUGGCACAGCAUCAUGCUCCUGCAGAGCUGUGCGAUGGGUAGCAGAGGCUGCGUCAGUGGUUCUGAGCUACUAGCAGAGUGCUGGGCAUCAGCACCCAUCUAGGAUCUUCUGGAUGAACUAGCAAAUAUUUCUGACGGUGGAUGAGACUGCACCUGCCUGCCCACAAAGGAAGGGGACUUACAAGUUUCAUUACCUGAAACAAACAAGCAAAACAAUUCCUUGGAUUUUAGGGUCAGAUUGUGAUUGUUUUCAGUGAGAAAUGUAAACACCAAAUAAAGUAACAGAGUAACACUGACCAUGACCAGGGCUUCCCAGGGUUGAUCUUGCAGUUUUGGAUAAUGUCCCCCAUACUUAGUUAUCCACUUAAAUUUAAGACUUUACUUUCAUAAAUAAAUGGCAAAGCUAAGGACAAGAGGAUAUCUCUUAUUUAUGUAUCAAUUGCUAACAAUCCAGUAAAAAGUUGAUAUCCCAUUUGAAAGAGUUUACAGCCAGGGGCUGAAUGCUAUAGAAAAGCAAAUCCACACUCAGUACAAUUACACUUAGCUAAUCCAAACAAUUACACUCAGUGAAAGGAAAUUCAAAAUUACAUUCUAUCAAGAAAAGGAGUGGAAAGGAUGACUUGCUGGAAAGGUUUAAAAUAUUUGACAAUCCAAAGUGUAGAAAAGUUGAAGGUUUAAAUAAAGUCUGCAAGCUCACUGCUGAUUACAUACACUCAAAAAUAUUCCUGGCUGGUCCUGAGCAUUUCUGCUGUGCCUGCACUGAGCUAUUCUUACAAAGAGGUGGAGCAUGGUGACCCUUGGGUGCAGAAGGAAACCUCAGCCACCCUGUCAGAGAGGGUACAGCUCAAGCCCCCAGUAACAAAUCAGUCAGUAACAGAAUGAAGUGGGCACUAGAUUAGGGGUUUUUUUUUUUUCAAAAACAUGUGUUUUUUGGUCAGAAAAAUAAGGAGGAAUAAAAGAAUGAAGGCUGAUUUUUGGAGAAUGGCAUCCCUUACCAGGCAGUGGCUUUGCCUUCCCCAGAAAACUGGGCUGUGCUGCUGCAGGAGAGCCUCGCCAAGGCGACCAGACGCCGCUCUGCAGUUCAUAAAGCAGGCUCUUCCUUGCCCAGCUUCGUGACUUGUCGGCCUCAGUAUGCCUCUUGUUCCAGACCACGUGCCAGUCAGCUGCUGUUACUGCAAAGCUGUGCUGAAUGCUUCUUAAUUAGCCCAGUUCCCUAUGGCUUAGCCCAGUUUUCGACUGAGGAACAGCCUUGGGAGCUGUGAAGCCCUGUAUCUGGGAAAAUGUGAUCCUUGAUGCACCAACCCAGUUCAGCACAUCCUAUUUUCCCUACCGCUGCCCAGCAGGCUCAGUUGCAUUUGUGCUGGAGUGCCAUCCUGCCCAGGAGGCAGCUGCAGCAGGCAGGGUGCAGAGCUGGAGGUCCUGUGCACUGCACAGCUCUGUGCCCACCGGUGGCAUGAGGACAGAGCUUGUCCUCGAACCCAAGGCUCAUCACCUCCAUGCACCAGGCAUGAGUCAGAACACAAAUAAAACUGAUCACAUACGUUGUACUUAUUUGCUCAAAUUCACGGGCUUUUUUCAUGCAUGUAAACCUUCUGCUGUUGCAUUGGUUGUGCAGCACAACAUUAUAGGUUUGAGUUUACCUUAACUUAAACCAGAAAGAACUCUGCCUUUUUUCUUUAUUAUUUUUAUUACAUCAUCAUAUCCUCUAUUUUCCUGCAUUCUGUUCUCCCUUUUUAUAUUUUUUUGUCCUUUAAAGUCUGCCUUACAUUUUAUGGACAUCUUCCUUGCAGCUUCCAGAAGGGUGCUCCAUCUUAAACUCAACAGCAAGGCUGACAGAUGGGCUUGAUAGUUUUUUUCUUUUGCAAGUAAUAAAAAAGGAACAUUACACUUCACGUGAAACCAGAGCACUGCCUCGAAACAACAGUGUUUGCUUGGCUAUAAAAAUAGUUACUGUUCUGCCAGGCCCAGAAUCAAAGCAUUUGCAUUAAUGUGUUUCCUCUUUUAAUAAAUAAAUCCAAUAUUUUAAAAUUUCA